UACGUAGGGUGCAAGCGUUGUCCGGAAUUAUUGGGCGUAAAGAGCUCGUAGGCGGCUUGUCACGUCGACUGUGAAAACCCGGGGCUCAACUCCGGGCCUGCAGUCGAUACGGGCUGGCUUGAGUGCGGUAGGGGAGACUGGAAUUCCUGGUGUAGCGGUGAAAUGCGCAGAUAUCAGGAGGAACACCGGUGGCGAAGGCGGCAUCCUGGACCGGUAUUGACGCUGAUGCGCGAAAGCCAGGGGAGCAAACGGG
rnacentral:rRNA from 1 species